UACGUAGGGGGCUAGCGUUGUCCGGAAUCAUUGGGCGUAAAGGGCGCGUAGGCGGACAGUUUAGUCAGGGGUGAAAGCCCAGGGCUCAACCCUGGAAUUGCCUUUGAUACUGAUUGUCUUGAGUAUGGGAGAGGUGAGUGGAACUCCGAGUGUAGAGGUGAAAUUCGUAGAUAUUCGGAAGAACACCAGUGGCGAAGGCGACUCACUGGCCCAUUACUGACGCUGAGGCUCGAAAGCGUGGGGAGCAAACAGG
rnacentral:rRNA from 1 species